rnacentral:tRNA from 1 species
AAGGAUUUAAGUUAAGGUUAAACUAAUAGCCUUCAAAGCUGGAAAUAGGGGAAAAUUCCUAAGCCUUA